rnacentral:rRNA from 1 species
GACGAACGCUGGCGGCGUGCUUAACACAUGCAAGUCGAACGGAAAGGCCCUGCUUUUGUGGGGUGCUCGAGUGGCGAACGGGUGAGUAACACGUGAGUAACCUGCCCUUGACUUUGGGAUAACUUCAGGAAACUGGGGCUAAUACCGGAUAGGAGCUCCUGCUGCAUGGUGGGGGUUGGAAAGUUUCGGCGGUUGGGGAUGGACUCGCGGCUUAUCAGCUUGUUGGUGGGGUAGUGGCUUACCAAGGCCUUGACGGGUAGCCGGCCUGAGAGGGUGACCGGCCACAUUGGGACUGAGAUACGGCCCAGACGCCUACGGGAGGCAGCAGUGGGGAAUAUUGCACAAUGGGCGGAAGCCUGAUGCAGCAACGCCGCGUGCGGGAUGACGGCCUUCGGGUUGUAAACCGCUUUCGCCUGUGACGAAGCGUGAGUGACGGUAAUGGGUAAAGAAGCACCGGCUAACUACGUG